GCAGCAUGUUUUCAUGUUGGAUUCUGCUUUACGGAACUACUGGCGUUGGGCUUUUCAUAAUCGCUGUAGCUAUGGCUGUAGGUUCACACCAGAGUAAACAUGAAGCGGACACUUUGACAAAGUCAUCUUACACAGAGGUGCAAUAUGUCUGGACAACCUUCAUUUAAGAAAGCCAAGGAGAGAUGGACAAAAGGCUUACAAGGUGGAAAACCAAACUACAUGAAAUGCGAUAAAUGUAGAGUAGAAGUACAUUUUUAUUAUUGACACAAUUUAAUGUUUCCUUUUGGCUUCAUUGCUUGUUUGUUUUAUUUAUAUUUUCCACUAACAAUGUACAGUAUAUAUCAUGGCCACAUAUAAGCUAUGAGUUUUUAGUUUUUUUUCUCAAAUGUAUUGUCCUGAUGUCUUACAGUAGCAAUAAUUUCAACAAUGAUGUUUGAAGAAAGAUUUAAACUGUUUUACAACCUCUGUCCCGUAACCAUGAACUUGAGGAUUAAAGUAAUGCAACAUUUACAAGAAAACAUACAAUGUCUUUGUCUGCAUUUAUUUUAGGACCAAGGAGAGAUCAUUCUUGACCUCAUACAUAGCAAACACGACCACAUCUCCAUCCUCUCAUGGGCUGUUAUUGGUCAGCUCAGUUGGAUAGACAACAAGCAAGCGCUCACAUGAGGAUGAGAAUAUAUUGUGCUAUAACCAAAUGUUACCACUAGAGGGUCACAUGCAUCACAGUACCCACUGUACUGUAUCCAUUUAUGCCGAACUUACUUCCUGAUUGUUGAACUCAACAGUGUCUACAAUCUUUGCUUCUAACCGGUAUAGCUUUUGUCAAAUUCUGCCCCUCAGGUGCUGUUGUCGUCCAUUCCGUAUGUGUACUGAAAAAAAUAUACCUGUGUGUGUGUAAAAAAAACCCCACUGUUGUUUGCACACAAUGCAGACUCUGUAAAUUGGAAGUAAACAAAUAGUCUCUAAUGAAGCCAUACACAUAUCCAGUAAAGCAAUAUAUUACGG